rnacentral:tRNA from 1 species
AGGACAGUAGCUCAACUGGUAGAGCACCGGUCUCCAAAACCGGGGGUUGGGGGUUCGAUCCCCUCCUGUCCUG